ensembl:lncRNA
UUUUUUUGAUCAAAUAAUUUUACUUGAAAAUCAUUAUAAUUAAAAACAGAGUCGCGGGAGGAUCAGAACAGCCACGACACUCUUCUGUCCAUACAUCCCCAGAGUAUAGAGAGAUGUCGAGCAAGGCGCAAACAAGCCAGACAGGCACUGCUGGAAAAUAACCUCCGCUCAGAUCACGGAAUCCAAGCGUUCGUAUGAAGUGCGUUCAACAUCAGUGACGGCAAUUAGCUGUCUCUAUUAAUGUAUGCUACUGUUGCACUAACUAAAUCAGUUUCUCUCAGUCUCAAACUACGGUUACUGUGAAGGCCCAGGUCUUACGGCGAAAGGGAAGCAUCAUAUAGGACCAGAUGGAGUUGGUGAAAUGAAAGGUAUUUAUCACCAGGAAGUUGUGAAUGUAUAUUGACAUUUAAAAGUCUAGACCCCGAAUGUAAGACGACCCCACGCAUUUCCAGGAAGAAAAAAAACCCAUCUUAUAUUCGGUUCAGUACGGUCGACUAGAAUUUAAAUAAAUCAAUGUGAACAUCUGUGUUCUCAAACAAUAAAGUGUGCAAAGUCGAUGGUUAUUUAUUUAGUGGUAGUUACCACAUGGCGAAUCAUUUGCAACAUCUCAUUAUUAUUGAUCAUCAUUCCUAACUGGCAGAGCUGUGCGGUUUCCAUUAAAGACACUACAUCAAAAAGACGAAUUCAACUGAGUUAGGCUUGCCUUCACCUUUAUAAUACAAAUUUCGUUAUUAAUUUAGAUUCGAUUCCUAUUUGUUCGUAAAAAAAAUCGAAAAAAGUAAAACGGCAGGAAUCUUGGUAAGAACAAUUACAGCAGUAGGCCUAUUCUUUUAAUGAAUUGACUAGAAACAGCUGCAUUAGUUUGCGUCCGAGUUCACGUUGCGAAUAAACUUUUGUCAUAGGUUUGGUUUCAGAAAAGUAACUUAAUUAAUUAUUUACACUAAAACAAGGGUGUUCUCUAAAAGCAGACUACUAACAAAUGGACCAUCGGUCGGAAUAUAUGGAGUGUAGGUCAAUCCUCACAUGUAUCGAGGAGGAGGAGGAGGAAGAGGAGGGUGAUGAUGAUGAUGAAGCCCAUGACAUGGAAGAGGAUGAUGGGGACAGAGAGGAGACCCAAAAAGGAGGUGUAAAGGAGACAGUGGACCAAAUGGGGGAAGAAGACGAAGAAGAAAGUGGCAGAGUGGAAGGAGGGGGAGAAGAAGAUGAGGAAGACUCUGACUCUCCCUGUCUGACGCCAAGACCCUGGCGACUGCCUCGUGACUUCGACGUCGUCUUCCAAGAGACGCGCUAUGUGGACAAUGUCCAGAGUGAGUCUGGGUCAGAAGACGGCUCCCUCUGUACAGCCGAACCACAGCCCACCGCCUCUCCCCCCGAACCCUCUCCUUCAUCAGAACACACCCCUUCUUCAGAAAGUACCUCUCCACCCGAACACGGUCCUUCAUCAGAACACGCCUCUCCACCUGAUCAGACCUCUUCAUCCCAACACAGCCCUCCAUCAGGACACACCCCUUCUUCAGAAAGUACCUCUCCACCCGAACACGGUCCUUCAUCGGAACACGCCUCUCCACCCGAUCAGACCUCUUCAUCACAACACAGCCCUCCAUUAGGCCACAGCUCUCCACCCGAACACACCUCUCCAUCGGGAUACACCAGUCCUUCAGAACACACCCCGCCUCCACCCACACACUCCUCUCCAUCCGAACACACCCCAUCAUCAGAAUACACCUCUGCAUCAGACCACCCCCCUUCAUCAGAACACCCCCCCACCAGGACACAGCCUUUGGCCUCAACCGGGCAGACAGUGGAGCCAUGGACUCCCAAACAUGAAGGUCUACUCCUGGGCAGAGAGAGCGUGGCGGCGGUCAAGAGCAGAGCAGCCAAAGAAAGGCUCGAAGAGGAGGCGUUCAUCAGAUGAGGAUUUUCCUGGCUGGUUGCUGGAGCUCAUGUUUAGCAUUGAGGAGUCGACAAAACAUGUACUGUUCGUUGAAUAUGAACAUGCAAAGGCAUAACGGGUCGUUGCUUGUUUUCUGAACUUCUUUCAAUGGUGUGAUGAUGUUGUUUAUCGUGGGGCAUUUUCACUGGGAUGGUAGAGGUUUACUUUAAGCUCAAUUUAUUUUUGAUAUCUAACUUUAUUUUCCCCAGACAAGUCCCACAGACAAUCAAGUAUUUUUUCUUGAAGAAAACAACAAAAAAUGAAAGAAGCUAUGAUUUCUAAAUAAAAGUCCUAAAAAUUAAUGUGUUGCACAUCAGAGUGUUUUUUGACAUUUUUUAUGGUAGCUAUUCCUGAUUUGCCAAGUUAAAAGUUAGACCGAACUUUCUGAACUGACUAUUCAAACAUGACGACAACAGAGCCAGGCUCUUUUAAAGUCCUAUCUAAUACUACACCAAAGCAACAAUCAAUUACUACUGGCUGUCUUCACACAAACAUGUUGUGAUUGCGGUGCAGG